rnacentral:rRNA from 1 species
UACGUAGGUGGCAAGCGUUAUCCGGAUUUAUUGGGCGUAAAGGGAACGCAGGCGCUCUUUUAAGUCUGAUGUGAAAGCCUUCGGCUUAACCGGAGUAGUGCAUUGGAAACUGGGAGACUUGAGUGCAGAAGAGGAGAGUGGAACUCCAUGUGUAGCGGUGAAAUGCGUAGAUAUAUGGAAGAACACCAGUGGCGAAAGCGGCUCUCUGGUCUGUAACUGACGCUGAGGCUCGAAAGCGUGGGUAGCAAACAGG